rnacentral:rRNA from 1 species
CAGCCGCCACGGGAAUACGGAGGGUGCAAGCGUUAAUCGGAAUUACUGGGCGUAAAGCGCACGCAGGCGGUUUGUUAAGUCAGAUGUGAAAUCCCCGAGCUUAACUUGGGAACUGCAUUUGAAACUGGCAAGCUAGAGUCUUGUAGAGGGGGGUAGAAUUCCAGGUGUAGCGGUGAAAUGCGUAGAGAUCUGGAGGAAUACCGGUGGCGAAGGCGGCCCCCUGGACAAAGACUGACGCUCAGGUGCGAAAGCGUGGGGAGCAAACAGGAUUAGAUACCCCAGUAGUCCCUGUCUCUUACAC